GGUCACAUUUCCACAUUUACUUAAUUGAAGGCUUGAGCCAGUGAGGGGUGCACAGGGCUUGUGUUUGCUUUUUAUUUCCAUAGUUUCUAGGUAAAGCAUUCCUUCCACCUCAGCUUUGGGGUUUCUGAAAACCCCUCCAUCCCUGGUUGUAGCUGGGAAGAGUGAGAAACUGAGCCAGAGUGAGACCUCCACCCUAGCUCUGGUCUGCAGAAGUGUGAUUUCCAGGAGGCCUAAAGGCCCAGCCCUUCUGUCAGCAGUGACAGGAAACCUCCAGGGUGGCAGGUGCUGGUGUUAGCCUGCAUCAGAGGAGGUCUCGGGGAGCAUGGCAGACUAGGCUCGCUCAUUCUGUUGAACUCCCUUUCCCAUCUGCCCAGCCCAGUCAUUUCAAGGGCCUGACCUGGUGAUGUGGUGGCCAGAGGCAGUGUGAUCUGGUAGACAGCAUCCUCUGAUGGAGCCAGGAGGCUGGGUUCCAGGGCUGUGUCUUGCAGUGGGACCUUCCCUGUGAGAAACUGGCUCUUCUGGUUCCAAGGCCACUGCAAGGUGGCAGGCUUAUUUUGCUGUCGGCCAGGUGAAUUAUAUAGCUGGUAUCAGAGGGCCCACUCCCAAGAGAAGACAUGGCCUGCCUGAGUUCCUGAGAUGGGAGGAGGCCAAGUGGCAAUGGGAAGUUAGGUCCCUGCCUUGGGGGGAGUCUGUUUGCUGGAGUCACACCUGGCCUGAGCGACUGCCUCGCUGGUCAUGGUAUUUGCCUUCACAGAGGCCACACUGCAGUUCCUAGCAGCACCCUGUCCUGCUCCUUACCCAGCCUAAGCUGGGUGGACCUCGAGGUGUCCAUGGCUUCCUUUGAGGAGGAGCCAGAGACUCCCCUUUAAGACUGCUCCAGAAGUUACCUGGAAGGGUGAGGUAGGCUUUCAGAGCCCCCGUGUGCUCCCAGACCUCUGCCUACCUCAGCAGUAUUGCCCUUCCUCUCCUCCUACCCCUGUCCUUUGGCUUUUGCUGUCUUCACAACAUCUCAGGGUAGCUGCCCUGACCUAGCAGUCUGUUGCCUCCUUAUCCCACAACCCCGGCUUCCCUGACGGUCCUACCCUUCUGGCCUCAGGCCCAUUUCCGAGGAAAGGCUUUGGCAAGUAUGUGGACAUGGCUUCCCAAGAGGACAGAAUGAUGCCGAGUGAGAGUGUAUGAGCAAUUGGGGUCACUGAAGCAGGAGGCACCCUUGGGGAGAGCUUCCUCCCAUGAGGCCUGAGAACCCUGGGAAAGAAGUUUGUGUCAAGUGAACCUCGGACCUUAAGCCUGCAGCCACUGGCUUGAUUGAAACUUGGGCGUUGAAGUCCAGUGUUGGAGCCACACCAGCCUGGGUGCAGAAUCUGGCAACUGCCUGUCACUAGGGUGUGAGGGGAUAGGUGACUUCCCCUCUCUCAGCCUUAGCUUCCAAGUCUAAGAAAUGGAACCAAGUGCUUUAUCUUAAUAUGAUUUUGAAGAGACCGUGGGUUGUACUUUUCAUGGGGCACUGUGAGUGCUUUCGUUGCCUUUCUGGGAGGGUAGAAAUAAAGAGGGCCAUGUGCCUGCAUGUGUGUGUCCUGUGCUUGGCACCUGCGUGAAAUAGGCAGAAAGACAUGGCAGUCUGGAAAGGAGGGAGGGCAGGGAUUUCAGUCUUGGGCUCUUGACUUUCCUCUGCCCUCUGGAGAUGGAGACACCAAGAGGCUGGUGGCCUGGCAGCCAGAUCUCCCCUCAGUCUCCUUGCCCUCCUCACUAGGGCCUGAGUGCCCCAAGGUCCACGCCAGAGAAGCCAGUGGCUCCAGCCCAGGGAAAGCCGCUCUCUCCUGCCCUGUCUCCUUCCUCCUUCCUGGGGCCAGAGUCAGAGUGGAGCUGCCUCCUUCAGCCUGUGUCAUGGAGCCCUGGAGACGGUAGCAGGAGAAUGUGCUAAUGGGGGAGUCCAGGCUCUGCAAGCCCCGGAGGUCUUAAGGGAUCUGCCUGCUGUCCACGCAGUCUCCUUCAGCUGGAGCCAUAAGCAUGGGAGAGGGUAUAGGAGUCCCUGAUGGCUGUAUUCUGGGAAAACAGUUCCAUCUCCUCUGACAGUGGAGAAAACUGAGACUUUGCCUCAAGUUGGAUGCUUUUCCCAGCUGCCCAUAACUCUCUCCAUGGGGCCCAUCUUGCUGCUUUACUGGAUUGACUGUCGGACCUUGGUGCUGACUGUCGGACCCUUGGUGCUGGAGUAUGAAGGAAAAAUGGACAGAGACACUGCCCAUCAGGAGUUGAUGGCCAAGAGGAGGACAGAGGCAAGUAAACAGGUCCUUAUCCUUGCCGCGUGUGGUGUGUGUUCGAUUGCUGUCUGCUGGGCACUGUGCCAGGCCCUGGGCAUGGGCGGUAUUCAGAUAAGGCCCUGCUCUCCUGGAGCAUGUCCCCCCUUGCUCAGGUUCCCACUCAGCACUUGCAGUGCUCAGCUUGAGGCUUUCCCUACAGCACAGGCCAGCUUAGGAGGUGGAAUGGCCAGGGAGCUCACUCUCUGGAGCAGCCCUAAGCCUGCGAAGGGUGGGAAUUGGUGGGUAUACAUUCCAGCUUCCUCACCCCCUCGGGUGGGACAACCCCAAGGAGUGUUCUACAUCACCUGUCAACCGGGGACUGACCUCAGUUGCCCACAGAGGGAACACACUCAUUUACACACCUGCUCUGGCUUCCUUUCCUUCCCUUCCCUGUCUCACUUCCCCUCUCAUCUCCAUCAGGAACUAGGAAGACUAUGAUUUCACCCAGCUCCAAAGCUGCCAUAUUCUGAGGAUGCUGGUGGAAGAUACAGCUUGGAAGAUACUCCUGCUUGAGAAACAAAGGUUAGUUUAUUUCCCACAGUAACAGUAGACAGAGGGUCAGCAUUUUCUAGAACCACUUCCCUGAACCCAGUGCCUGCAGCGUGACCCUAUAAGGGCCAGAUGAUGGCUGUACAUACAGUAGGUUGACAGCAGAGAAACCCUGAGAUCAGGGAACCCAAAUCUUUUAUAAUAGACUGUAAGCCAACCUGCCUAACCUUUGCCCCAGAGGCAGAUACUAUCUUUAUUAUACUAGGCAAGAAAUAAAUCUGCCUUUUUCCCUGGAGGGAGACAUUAUCUCUGUCUUCUAAGGCUAUUCACUGGAAUAAUCACCCUGGAAAGUGUUGUUUGGAACGAGGGCAGUCAGUGCCUCUGUGAACAAAUGUACAGGAAAGGGAGACAACCUGGCAGAAUUGUCUCCUAGGACCCUAUCGGCGCUUCUUGACAUCACCUCUGAAAUAAACUAUUUCUGUUUGGAUCUUUU